AGAAAGAGGAGUACAGUCAGCUGGGAAGGGUGGUUCUCAUUUCUUCCCUCUACACCUUAAAAUGGAUCAAAAUAUGGGAAGAAAAAAAAGGCACGACACAACCACCACCUGAAGGUCACUUCUAGCAACGACUCCAACCCUGCAACGAACUAUGAUUGGUCCCAUAUAAUGCGCCAAAUCGAGGUUGUACUGUAUGUGAGAAAAUGGAAGGAUGUCAUCAGCAAAAGAUCAUGCAGGUGGAAUCAGUCCCACUCAGAAUGCAGUAAGGCUACUAGCAACCCUUCUAAAGUAACAAGCGCUUUAUGGAAACAGCUCAGUGAGGAAUGUGAUACUAAUAUUAAAGCUCCUCUUUCACAUGCAACAUACCCAACAGAUAAAAAGGUCUCUCCAAAUGAGAGGAAUACUUCUAUAAAUAAUUCUUCAUUCCAAUCACAAGAUUUAUGGCAUACAUUGCACUGUCCUGCUUCAUUACAAAAUGAUUUUAACCACCAAAUAAUGCAAAAAGAUCCAUGGGAGCCAUUAACUACAGAUCAAGGAUCUCAUGAUCUGACAGAUAUUUUUAAUUCGAACUUUACUGACGAUAUAUUUAGAAAGUCCAACACAGAUGUAAAUGUGAUUUCUAUCAUAGGUAAUGAAGAAAAUAUUUACCCUUCGUUUUUCAAGGAUAUGAGUGAUAACAAAUUUGACUCUAGCGUAACCUGUGUUGAUGUAAAUGACUCGACAAACCCAAUAAGUCAACUGUUCCCAUCAAAUCCUUGUCUCGCUGACAGUAUAUGGAAUGAAAGUUCAAAAACACCAGCUGACAGUGCCUUUCCUUUUACUUCUGGAAAAGAUUCGUGUGGGUUACAUACAUCAAUGUCAUGGGAUAAUGCAAUUUCUUCAGGAUCUCAAAAACGAGUGUUGCAAGAUUUGGAGACUAAUAACCAGUGCUCAGUUAUUGGCCCUCCAAAGACAUGCCAUCCAUAUUCACUCCGGACAGCAAGAGAUUUUGUAUCUUCUCACAAACUGCCUUCAUCUUGUAAUGCUGGCGUUCCAGAGUCAUACAGCAAUCAGGGAGCAACAGUUGUUUUCCCUCAGAAACAACACACAGACUUGGUUGCUUUAAUGCAAGAACUGUCGAUGAUUGUUGGAGCAACGGAUGCCGGACAUCUUUUACAAGAUGGAAGUAUGUUACAUGCUUACACACAGCAAAAAACUCCAGUCAUGACUCCAGUGACUACUACUUCUAAAGGAUGUGUAUUUUGUAAGAACAAUAACUACCACUCCACCUUCUAUAAAUCCCAUUCAUUAAAGGAAGCCAGUUAGGCUUAUCCAGAUCCCCCUACCCCACCAAAGCCAACAACUGACCUUUCCCAGGAUGCAACCCACAACAGUCGCCCAACUCCCAGAUACAGAGGCUGGCCUGCUUUCCGAACCAAUCGGGACUGAACUCUGCAAAAAAACCAGGAUGAACGUGGUCAUUGUCAGUGUCCUGUGUUGAGGCUAUAUGUCUGUCCUCUCUGCAGUGCUACUGGUGAUUUUGCUCACACAUUGAAAUAUUGUCCACGAAAUACUGUGACUAGAGGAGACCCAAUCUCAGCAG
rnacentral:misc_RNA from 1 species